AACGAACGCUGGCGGCAUGCCUAACACAUGCAAGUCGAACGAAGCCUUCGGGCUUAGUGGCGCACGGGUGCGUAACGCGUGGGAAUCUGCCCUUGGGUUCGGAAUAACAGUUAGAAAUGACUGCUAAUACCGGAUGAUGACUUCGGUCCAAAGAUUUAUCGCCCAAGGAUGAGCCCGCGUAGGAUUAGGUAGUUGGUGGGGUAAUGGCCUACCAAGCCGACGAUCCUUAGCUGGUCUGGGAGGAUGAUCGGCCACACUGGGACUGAGACACGGCCCAUACUCCUACGGGAGGCAGCAGUGGGGAAUAUUGGACAAUGGGCGAAAGCCUGAUCCAGCAAUGCCGCGUGAGUGAUGAAGGCCUUAGGGUUGUAAAGCUCUUUUACCAGGGAUGAUAAUGACAGUACCUGGAGAAUCAGCUCCGGCUAACUCCGUGCCAGCCGCCGCAGUAACAC
rnacentral:rRNA from 1 species